rnacentral:rRNA from 1 species
UACGAAGGGUGCAAACGUUGCUCGGAAUUAUUGGGCGUAAAGCGCACGUAGGCGGCUUUGCAAGUCCCAUGUGAAAUCCCACGGCUUAACCGUGGAAGUGCAUGGGAAACUGCAGAGCUUGAGUACUUAAGAGGAUCGCGGAAUUCCCGGUGUAGAGGUGAAAUUCGUAGAUAUUCGCAAGAACACCAGUGGCGAAGGCGGCUCACUGGCCCGAUACUGACGCUGAGGCACGAAAGCGUGGGGAGCAAACAGG